UUAGGUUUUGGGACUAGGGAAAGGUUUAAGGUUUUUGGCGUUAGGGUUAAAAUCACUGUCCAAAACCUUUGUAGGAACUCUUUUCCAACCUUUUGGAGUUAGUUAGACCAAAAAAAAAAAGAAAAAUGAAAAAAAAAUAUUUGGGGUGUUCAGGCUUCCUAAAAGUAAUACCCGGGUAUUAGGUUAUGGGGCUAUGGGAAGGUUUAACGUUUUGGCGUUAUGUUUAAAAUCACUGUCCAAAACCUUUGUAGGAACUCUUUUCCAACCUUUUGGAUUUAGUUAGACCAAAAAAAAUGAAAAAUUAAAAAAAAUAUAUUUGGGUUGUUCAGGCUUCCUAAAAGUAAUACCCGGGUAUUAGGUUAUGGGGCUAUGGUAAGGUUUAAGGUUUUUGGCGUUAGGGUUAAAAUCACUGUCCAAAACCUUUGUAGGAACUCUUUUCCAACCUUUUGGAGUUAGUUAGACCAAAAAAAAAAAGAAAAAUGAAAAAAAAAUAUUUGGGGUGUUCAGGCUUCCUAAAAGUAAUACCCAGGUAUUAGGUUAUGGGGCUAUGGUAAGGUUUAAGUUUUUUGGCGUUAGGGUUAAAAUCACUGUCCAAAACCUUUGUAGGAACUCUUUUCCAACCUUUUGGAGUUAGUUAGACCAAAAAAAAAUGAAAAAUUAAAAAACAAUAUUUGGGGUUUUCGGGGUUCCUGAAUGUAAUACCCGGGUAUUAGAUUUUGAGGCUAGGGUAAGGUUUAAGGUUUUUGGCGUUAGGGUUAAAAUCACUGUCCAAAACCUUUGUAGGAACUCUUUUCCAACCUUUUGGAGUUAGUUAGACCAAAAAAUAUGAAAAAAGAAAAAAAUAAUAUUGGGGGCUUUCGGGCUCCCUGAAAGUAAUACCCGUGUAUUAGGUUUUGGGACUAGGGAAAGGUUUAAGGUUUUUGGCGUUAGGGUUAAAAUCACUGUCCAAAACCUUUGUAGGAACUCUUUUCCAACCUUUUGGAGUUAGUUAGACCAAAAAAAAAAAUGAAAAAUGAAAAAAAAAUAUUUGGGGUGUUCAGGCUUCCUAAAAGUAAUACCCGGGUAUUAGGUUAUGGGGCUAUGGGAAGGUUUAACGUUUUGGCGUUAUGUUUAAAAUCACUGUCCAAAACCUUUGUAGGAACUCUUUUUCAAACUUUUGGAGUUAGUUAGACCAAAAAAAAUGAAAAAUUAAAAAAAAUAUAUUUGGGUUGUUCAGGCUUCCUAAAAGUAAUACCCGGGUAUUAGGUUAUGGGGCUAUGGUAAGGUUUAAGGUUUUUGGCGUUAGGGUUAAAAUCACUGUCCAAAACCUUUGUAGGAACUCUUUUCCAACCUUUUGGAGUUAGUUAGACCAAAAAAAAAUGAAAAAUGAAAAAAAAAAUAUUUGGGGUUUACGGGCUUCCUGAAAAGUAAUACCCGGGUAUUAGGUUUUAAGGCCAGGGAAAGGUUUAAGUUUUUUGGCGUUAGGGUUAAAAUCACUGUCCAAAACCUUUGUAGGAACUCUUUUCCAACCUUUUGGAGUUAGUUAGACCAAAAAGUAUGAAAAAAGAAAAAAAUAUUAUUGGGGGUUUUCGGGCUCCCUGAAAGUAAUACCCGGGUAUUAGGUUUUGGGGCUAUGGUAAGGUUUAAGUUUUUUGGCGUUAGGGUUAAAAUCACUGUCCAAAACCUUUGUAGGAACUCUUUUCCAACCUUUUGGAGUUAGUUAGACCAAAAAAAAAAAAGAAAAAUGAAAAAAAAUAUAUUUGGGGUGUUCAGGCUUCCUAAAAGUAAUACCCGGGUAUUAGGUUAUGGGGCUAUGGUAAGGUUUAAGGUUUUUGGCGUUAGGGUUAAAAUCACUGUCCAAAACCUUUGUAGGAACUCUUUUCCAACCUUUUGGAGUUAGUUAGACCAAAAAAAAAUGAAAAAUGAAAAAAAAAUAUUUGGGGUUUACGGGCUUCCUGAAUGUAAUACCCGGGUAUUAGAUUUUAAGGCCAGGGAAAGGUUUAAGUUUUUUGGCGUUAGGGUUAAAAUCACUGUCCAAAACCUUUGUAGGAACUCUUUUCCAACCUUUUGGAGUUAGUUAGACCAAAAAAUAUGAAAAAAGAAAAAAAUAUUAUUUGGGGUGUUCAGGCUUCCUAAAAGUAAUACCCGGGUAUUAGGUUAUGGGGCUAUGGUAAGGUUUAAGGUUUUUGGCGUUAGGGUUAAAAUCACUGUCCAAAACCUUUGUAGGAACUCUUUAACAACCUUUUGGAUUUAGUAAGACCAAAAAAAAAUGAAAAAUUAAAAAAAAUAUAUUUGGGGUGUUCAGGCUUCCUAAAAGUAAUACCCGGGUAUUAGGUUAUGGGGCUAUGGUAAGGUUUAAGGUUUUUGGCGUUAGGGUUAAAAUCACUGUCCAAAACCUUUGUAGGAACUCUUUUUCAACCUUUUGGAAUUAGUUAGACCAAAAAAAAAAUGAAAAAUGAAAAAAAAAAUAUUUGGGGUUUACGGGCUUCCUGAAAGUAAUACCCGGGUAUUAGGUUUUAAGGCCAGGGAAAGGUUUAAGUUUUUUGGCGUUAGGGUUAAAAUCACUGUCCAAAACCUUUGUAGGAACUCUUUUCCAACCUUUUGGAGUUAGUUAGACCAAAAAGUAUGAAAAAAGAAAAAAAUAUUAUUGGGGGUUUUCGGGCUCCCUGAAAGUAAUACCCGGGUAUUAGGUUUUGGGGCUAUGGUAAGGUUUAACGUUUUGGCGUUAGGUUUAAAAUCACUGUCCAAAACCUUUGUAGGAACUCUUUUCCAACCUUUUGGAGUUAGUUAGACUAAAAAAAAAAAGAAAAAUGAAAAAAAAAUAUUUGGGGUGUUCAGGCUUCCUAAAAGUAAUACCCGGGUAUUAGGUUAUGGGGCUAUGGUAAGGUUUAACGUUUUGGCGUUAGGUUUAAAAUCACUGUCCAAAACCUUUGUAGGAACUCUUUAACAACCUUUUGGAUUUAGUAAGACCAAAAAAAAAUGAAAAAUUAAAAAAAAUAUAUUUGGGGUGUUCAGGCUUCCUAAAAGUAAUACCCGGGUAUUAGGUUAUGGGGCUAUGGUAAGGUUUAAGGUUUUUGGCGUUAGGGUUAAAAUCACUGUCCAAAACCUUUGUAGGAACUCUUUUUCAACCUUUUGGAAUUAGUUAGACCAAAAAAAAAAUGAAAAAUGAAAAAAAAAAUAUUUGGGGUUUACGGGCUUCCUGAAUGUAAUACCCGGGUAUUAGAUUUUAAGGCCAGGGAAAGGUUUAAGUUUUUUGGCGUUAGGGUUAAAAUCACUGUCCAAAACCUUUGUAGGAACUCUUUUCCAACCUUUUGGAGUUAGUUAGACCAAAAAAUAUGAAAAAAGAAAAAAAUAUUAUUGGGGGUUUUCGGGCUCCCUGAAAGUAAUACCCGGGUAUUAGGUUUUGGGGCUAUGGUAAGGUUUAAGUUUUUUGGCGUUAGGGUUAAAAUCACUGUCCAAAACCUUUGUAGGAACUCUUUUCCAACCUUUUGGAGUUAGUUAGACCAAAAAAAAAAAGAAAAAUGAAAAAAAAAUAUUUGGGGUGUUCAGGCUUCCUAAAAGUAAUACCCGGGUAUUAGGUUAUGGGGCUAUGGUAAGGUUUAACGUUUUGGCGUUAGGUUUAAAAUCACUGUCCAAAACCUUUGUAGGAACUCUUUUCCAACCUUUUGGAGUUAGUUAGACCAAAAAAAAAUGAAAAAAUUAAAAAAUAUAUAUUUGGGGUGUUCAGGCUUCCUAAAAGUAAUACCCGGGUAUUAGGUUAUGGGGCUAUGGUAAGGUUUAAGGUUUUUGGCGUUAGGGUUAAAAUCACUGUCCAAAACCUUUGUAGGAACUCUUUUCCAACCUUUUGGAGUUAGUUAGACCAAAAAAUAUGAAAAAAGAAAAAAAUAAUAUUGGGGGCUUUCGGGCUCCCUGAAAGUAAUACCCGUGUAUUAGGUUUUGGGACUAGGGAAAGGUUUAAGGUUUUUGGCGUUAGGGUUAAAAUCACUGUCCAAAACCUUUGUAGGAACUCUUUUCCAACCUUUUGGAGUUAGUUAGACCAAAAAAAAAAAGAAAAAUGAAAAAAAAAUAUUUGGGGUGUUCAGGCUUCCUAAAAGUAAUACCCGGGUAUUAGGUUAUGGGGCUAUGGGAAGGUUUAACGUUUUGGCGUUAGGUUUAAAAUCACUGUCCAAAACCUUUGUAGGAACUCUUUAACAACCUUUUGGAUUUAGUUAGACCAAAAAAAAUGAAAAAUUAAAAAAAAUAUAUUUGGGUUGUUCAGGCUUCCUAAAAGUAAUACCCGGGUAUUAGGUUAUGGGGCUAUGGUAAGGUUUAAGGUUUUUGGCGUUAGGGUUAAAAUCACUGUCCAAAACCUUUGUAGGAACUCUUUUUCAACCUUUUGGAAUUAGUUAGACCAAAAAAAAAAUGAAAAAUGAAAAAAAAAAUAUUUGGGGUUUACGGGCUUCCUGAAUGUAAUACCCGGGUAUUAGAUUUUAAGGCCAGGGAAAGGUUUAAGUUUUUUGGCGUUAGGGUUAAAAUCACUGUCCAAAACCUUUGUAGGAACUCUUUUCCAACCUUUUGGAGUUAGUUAGACCAAAAAGUAUGAAAAAAGAAAAAAAUAUUAUUGGGGGUUUUCGGGCUCCCUGAAAGUAAUACCCGGGUAUUAGGUUUUGGGGCUAUGGUAAGGUUUAAGUUUUUUGGCGUUAGGGUUAAAAUCACUGUCCAAAACCUUUGUAGGAACUCUUUUCCAACCUUUUGGAGUUAGUUAGACCAAAAAAAAAAGAAAAAUGAAAAAAAAAUAUUUGGGGUGUUCAGGCUUCCUAAAAGUAAUACCCGGGUAUUAGGUUAUGGGGCUAUGGUAAGGUUUAAGGUUUUUGGCGUUAGGGUUAAAAUCACUGUCCAAAACCUUUGUAGGAACUCUUUUUCAACCUUUUGGAAUUAGUUAGACCAAAAAAAAAAUGAAAAAUGAAAAAAAAAAUAUUUGGGGUUUACGGGCUUCCUGAAUGUAAUACCCGGGUAUUAGAUUUUAAGGCCAGGGAAAGGUUUAAGUUUUUUGGCGUUAGGGUUAAAAUCACUGUCCAAAACCUUUGUAGGAACUCUUUUCCAACCUUUUGGAGUUAGUUAGACCAAAAAGUAUGAAAAAAGAAAAAAAUAUUAUUUGGGGUGUUCAGGCUUCCUAAAAGUAAUACCCGGGUAUUAGGUUAUGGGGCUAUGGUAAGGUUUAACGUUUUGGCGUUAGGGUUAAAAUCACUGUCCAAAACCUUUGUAGGAACUCUUUUCCAACCUUUUGGAGUUAGUUAGACCAAAAAAAAUGAAAAAUGAAAAAAAAUAUAUUUGGGGUGUUCAGGCUUCCUAAAAGUAAUACCCGGGUAUUAGGUUAUGGGGCUAUGGUAAGGUUUAAGGUUUUUGGCGUUAGGGUUAAAAUCACUGUCCAAAACCUUUGUAGGAACUCUUUUUCAACCUUUUGGAAUUAGUUAGACCAAAAAAAAAAUGAAAAAUGAAAAAAAAAAUAUUUGGGGUUUACGGGCUUCCUGAAUGUAAUACCCGGGUAUUAGAUUUUAAGGCCAGGGAAAGGUUUAAGUUUUUUGGCGUUAGGGUUAAAAUCACUGUCCAAAACCUUUGUAGGAACUCUUUUCCAACCUUUUGGAGUUAGUUAGACCAAAAAGUAUGAAAAAAGAAAAAAAUAUUAUUGGGGGUUUUCGGGCUCCCUGAAAGUAAUACCCGGGUAUUAGGUUUUGGGGCUAUGGUAAGGUUUAAGUUUUUUGGCGUUAGGGUUAAAAUCACUGUCCAAAACCUUUGUAGGAACUCUUUUCCAACCUUUUGGAUUUAGUAAGACCAAAAAAAAAUGAAAAAUUAAAAAAAUAUAUUUGGGGUGUUCAGGCUUCCUAAAAGUAAUACCCGGGUAUUAGGUUAUGGGGCUAUGGUAAGGUUUAAGGUUUUUGGCGUUAGGGUUAAAAUCACUGUCCAAAACCUUUGUAGGAACUCUUUUUCAACCUUUUGGAAUUAGUUAGACCAAAAAAAAAUGAAAAAUGAAAAAAAAAAUAUUUGGGGUUUACGGGCUUCCUGAAUGUAAUACCCGGGUAUUAGAUUUUAAGGCCAGGGAAAGGUUUAAGUUUUUUGGCGUUAGGGUUAAAAUCACUGUCCAAAACCUUUGUAGGAACUCUUUUCCAACCUUUUGGAGUUAGUUAGACCAAAAAAUAUGAAAAAAGAAAAAAAUAUUAUUGGGGGUUUUCGGGCUCCCUGAAAGUAAUACCCGUGUAUUAGGUUUUGGGACUAGGGAAAGGUUUAAGGUUUUUGGCGUUAGGGUUAAAAUCACUGUCCAAAACCUUUGUAGGAACUCUUUUCCAACCUUUUGGAGUUAGUUAGACCAAAAAAAAAAAGAAAAAUGAAAAAAAAAUAUUUGGGGUUUACGGGCUUCCUGAAUGUAAUACCCGGGUAUUAGGUUAUGGGGCUAUGGGAAGGUUUAACGUUUUGGCGUUAUGUUUAAAAUCACUGUCCAAAACCUUUGUAGGAACUCUUUAACAACCUUUUGGAUUUAGUUAGACCAAAAAAAAUGAAAAAUUAAAAAAAAUAUAUUUGGGUUGUUCAGGCUUCCUAAAAGUAAUACCCGGGUAUUAGGUUAUGGGGCUAUGGUAAGGUUUAAGGUUUUUGGCGUUAGGGUUAAAAUCACUGUCCAAAACCUUUGUAGGAACACUUUUCCAACCUUUUGGAGUUGGUUAGACCAAAAAAAAAAGAAAAAUGAAAAAAAAAUAUUUGGGGUGUUCAGGCUUCCUAAAAGUAAUACCCAGGUAUUAGGUUAUGGGGCUAUGGUAAGGUUUAAGUUUUUUGGCGUUAGGGUUAAAAUCACUGUCCAAAACCUUUGUAGGAACUCUUUUCCAACCUUUUGGAGUUAGUUAGACCAAAAAAAAAAUGUAAAAUGAAAAAAAAAUAUUUGGGGUUCAGGCUUCCUAGAAGUAAUACCAGGGUAUAAUAUUAUGGGGCUAUGGUAAGGUUUAAGGUUUUUGGUAUUAGGGUUAAAAUCACUGUCCAAAACCUUUGUAGGAACUCUUUUCCAACCUUUUGGAGUUGGUUACACCAACAAAAAUGUAAAAUGAAAAAAAAAAUAUUUGGGGUGUUCGGGCUUCCUGAAAGUAAUACCCGGGUAUUAGGUUAUGGGGCUAUGGUAAGGUUUAAGGUUUUUGGCAUUAGGGUUAAAAUCACUGUCCAAAACCUUUGCAGGAACUCUUUUCCAACCUUUUGGAGUUGGUUACACCAACAAAAAUGUAAAAUGAAAAAAAUAUAUAUUUUGGUUGUUCGGGCUUCCUGAAGUAAUACCCGGGUAUUAGGUUAUGGGGCUAUGGUAAGGUUUAAGGUUUUUGGCAUUAGGGUUAAAAUCACUGUCCAAAACCUUUGUAAGAACUCUUUUCCAACCUUUUGGAGUUAGUAAGACCAAAAAAAGAAUGAAAAAUGAAAAAAAAUAUAUUUGGGGUUUCCGGGCUUCCUGAAUGCAAUACCCGGGUAUUAGAUUUUAAAGCCAAUGUAAGGUUUAAGUUUUUUGGCGUUAGGGUUAAAAUCACUGUCCAAAACCUUUGUAGGAACUCUUUUUCAACCUUUUGGAGUUAGUUAGACCACAAAAAAAAGAAAAAUGAAAAAAAAAUAUUUUGGGUGUUCAGGCUUCCUCAAAGUAAUACCCGGGUAUUAGGUUAUGGGGCUAUGGUAAGUAUUAGGGUUUUUGGCAUUAGGGUUAAAAUCACUGUCCAAAACCUUUGUAAGAACUCUUUUCCAACCUUUUGGAGUUAGUUAGACCAAAAAAAAAUGAAAAAUGAAAAAAAAAAUAUUUGGGGUUUUCGGGCUUCCUGAAUGUAAUACCCGGGUAUUAGAUUUUAAGGCUAGGGUAAGGUUUAAGUUUUUUGGCGUUAGGGUUAAAAUCACUGUCCAAAACCUUUGUAGGAACUCUUUUCCAACCUUUUGGAGUUAGUUUGACCAAAAAAAAAAAAGAAAAAUGAAAAAAAAAUAUUUGGGGUGUUCAGGCUUCCUAAAAGUAAUACCCGGGUAUUAGGUUAUGGGGCUAUGGUAAGGUUUAAGGUUUUUGGCGUUAGGGUUAAAAUCACUGUCAAAAACCUUUGUAGGAACUCUUUUCCAACCUUUUGGAGUUGGUUACACCAACAAAAAUGUAAAAUGAAAAAAAAAAUAUUUGGGGUGUUCGAGCUUCCUGAAGGUAAUACCCGGGUAUUAGGUUAUGGGGCUAUGGUAAGGUUUUAUUGUUUGGCGUUAGGUUUAAAAUAAAAAAACAAACAAACAAACAAAAAAAAAUCUCAAACCAAAAGUUCAAACAAGACACAAACUCAAGAUCAAAAAACACCACAAACUCAAGUUCAACCAACACCCAAAUCUCAAGUUUAACAAUUGCCACAACCUCUAGUUCAAAAACAACACAAACUCAAGUUCAAACAGGACACAAACUCAGGUGCAAAAACACCACAAACUCAAGUUAAACAAUUGCCACCAACUAAAGUUCAGAGAAAAAUACAGACUCAAGUUCAACAAUUGCCACAAACUCAAGUUCAACAAACACCACAAUCUUAAGUUCAACAAAUUCCAAAAUUUCAAGUUCAACAAAUGACCUAAACUCACAUUUAACAAUUGCCAAAAACUUAAAAGUUAAAAAAGUGCCACAAACUGAAGUUCAAAAACACCACAAACUGAAGUGUGUGAGGACAUGCAAACCACCAGACUGCACCUGUCUCAGCAAUGGGCUGAAGUGCACAAACCUGUGCAAAUUACAAACUUGUGCCAACCAGUACAGUGAGGAAGAGCCCCUUGCACACCGGCAGAUUCAGAUGUAGAAGAAGAUACAGAUACUGAUGUCGAUUACUGAUGUUGAUUAAUAAGUGAUGACCAAAGGGAGCUAUGUUAGCAGACCCACUGUGACUCAGUGACAGAAUUAUGUGCUAAGCCAAAACUUGACAGUCAUAUUUGCCGUCACUGUUCCUUAUGGAAAGAAUAGGACUUUGAAUAGGAAUUGGAGUUUUUCUCAGAUGAUUGUAUAGAGUGUAUACAUCAGUAGAUCUUAUUUUGUUGCUAAUGUCUUCUUGCCCUGCACCAGCCAGGAUGAUUGUAUAUUGAGUGCCUACAUUUAAAAUAUGUCAGUGUCAUAUUAAAGUUGUGUUAUUAUAAUGCUAUUAGUCUGCAUUUAUUUUAUUUCUACUUCUAAGUCAAAAAAUAUCCUUAAUUUAGACCUUGAUUUAGACCUGACAAUUAGCUAAUUGAAGCUUAUAUAUACACACCUGUAUUAGAUAAAUUACUUGAAAUACUACUUAGGGGGUUAAUACAAGUCUCUAUGGCUAGCCAAUAGUUCAAACACACCUAAAUGAGAGGUUAAAAUGAAAGAAAGCUCAUUUUGAAGGAAGGCGAUUUUUCGUUUUUGAACAGCUGCACUCUAUUACUUCAAUGAGUAAUAACUACAAUAAAGCUACCAGUUACCAAGGUCUAUCAAAUAAAAACUUAUUGUAGGGAUGUAUAAAAAAAUCACAACUAGAAUUUGCCCACCUAGGUGGUACCGAUAUGUGAAAUUUUGGUUCUUGGCUCAAGGACUAAAACUCAAGUUCAACAAACACAACAAGUCAAGUUCAAGCAACACCCGAUCCUCAAGUUCAACAAUUUCCACAAACUUAAGUUAAAAAACACCAGAACCUCUAGUUCAAAAAACAUGAUAAACUCAAGUUCAAAUAUGCCACAAACUCAAGUUCAAUGAACACCACAAACUCAAGUUCAACCACCACCCGAUUCUCAAGUUUAACAAUUGCCACAACCUCAAGGUUAAAAAAAACACAAACUCAAGUUCAAACACUUCACAAACUCAAGUUAAAAAACACCACACAAACUCAAGUUCAACAAACACCACAAACUCAAGUUAAACAAACACAACAAGUCAAGUUCAAGCAACACCCGAUCCUCAAGUUCAACAAUUUCCACAAACUUAAGUUAGAAAACACCAGAACCUCAAGUUCAAAAAACAUAAUAAACUCAAGUUCAAAUAUGCCACAAACUCAAGUUCAAUGAACACCACAAACUCAAGUUCAACGAACGCCACAAACAAAAGUUCAACAAUUGCCACCAACUAAAGUUCACUAAAAACCAUAGACUCAAGUUCAACAAUUGCCAAAAAAUCAAGCCAAACAAACUCAAGUUCAUAAGUUGCCACAAACUUCAAACACGACACAAACUCAAGUUCAAAAACACCACAAACUCAAGUUCAAAAACGACACAAACUCAAGUUCAACAAACAAAACUAACUAUUUAGAGUAAUUUUGAGGUGUUUGAGAGGUUUUUUGUAGACUUACCCUAGUGGUCCUAAGUUGUUGUUGAUGUGAGGGGUUUCUUUUCCAGUAGUCUAAAAUCUGUUGGAGGGGGGAAAAGGUUCCAGCUGUCCAUCCGCGGUGGCAGCGGUGUGUCUGAAGUCCGGGGUCCUCGGCGGGGGAAAGAAGAUCAGCGCUCCGCGGGAAGGUUUGCUGGGACUCGGUGCUGUCGGCGGGUCGAAGCUCGGUGGUGGGCGGCUUGGAGUGAUGGAGGUGCGGCGCCUUCCUCGAUGGUGGUCCGUCUUCUUGGUCCAGAGGUCAGUGCUUUGUCUCAAUAACUGGAACAGGAAUUGCUCUUUAGUGCACGGCACUUAAAUGUGCUCUUCACACGAGACGACAUCCCCAGAGUUGGGCUCGAGUCAUGGUUUGUGCUGUUCCUCUCAGACAUGGUUGUGUUCUCUUCACGAUGUUUGUAUUGCAGAAUGGAUGUCUCUUGGUUGUAUUUUAAACCUUCAAGUUGUUUUAAGUUAAUUUUAAUGUAGUUUAUUGUUUUAAAUUGAGUUUUGCUACAUUCAAUUUGUAUGCAAUCGCAAGGGAUUGUGGGUAUUUUAGUUCUGAGGGAUGAGAGCCUAAGGAAUCAAUCUUCCUGUUACAGCAAAGGAUUGUGGGUAAAACCGUGAGGGAGUGAGGUACUUCCUUUCUGGCAUGAGAGCCUUGGGAAUCAAUCUCCCUGUUGCAGCAAAGGAUUGUGGGUAAAACCGUGAGUGAGGGAGGUACAUUUUUCCUGGCAUGAGAACCUCAGGAGUCAGUCCUUCCUAAGAAAAAAGAGGGGAGAGGGGAAGAAAAACAAAAGCACAGGAACCCUAAAAUAAAAUAAAAUAAUAUAAAACAAUGAAAAAAUAAAAGAAGAACAAAAGUGGAAUAAAAAGGGAAAGGGGAAGAAAAAAGGAAAAAAAGAAAUGUCAAGAGCAAAUAGCAAAAAUCAGAAGUGAGCUUAAAAACAGAGAACAGUUCCCUAAAAGAAAGACAGAAAUGUAAAUCUGAUCAAUGUCCUAAGGGAAAAUCUGUACGUGUGUGUGUGUGUUCUUUUUUGCUAACUUAGUCUGGUGUCACUGAUGGUCAGUUAUUGAUAAGUAUUUAUUAUUUAAAUUUUUGAUGAAGUUGUUUGUAGUGGGGUUAGCUGGCUAAUUUUAGAGUGUUAAAAAAGAUGUUAGAGGGGGAGGAUUUAGGGGGCACGGCGGUUCCCCUUCAGGUCUCUCUUAAUCCUCCAUAUAGGUGACCCAACAGGGGUUACCCCCCGGCCGGGGUAGGCCGAGGCUGAAGAUCACCUAUUUGUCCUCUGUGAAGGUGAAAAUAAAGGGGCAGGGGAGGGAAUAAGAAAGGGGGGGUGUUAGAGAGAGGGGGAGAGAUGAGGGAGAGAGAUGAGGGAGAGAGAGAGAGAGAGAGAGAGAGAGAGAGAGAGAGGUGUGUGUGUGUGUGUGUGUGUGUGUGUGUGUGUGUGUGUGAGAGAGAGAGAGAGAGAGAGAGAGAGAGAAGGGAAGAGGGAGAGGGGGGUUUAAGGGAGAGGUGGAGAUGGUGGAAAAUAAAGAUUGGUGAGGGGGAUGUUGACAUAUCACAUGUUCCCAGUCAAGUCUCCAAGCUCAAUCUGUGUGUAAAAAUUAUGUGUUGGUAGGAAGUUUAAUGACUCCACUCAAUUGGUAUGCCAUGCUGUCUAUCUUUUAGACUAUGUGUUUGUAAAUUAUGUAUAUAUUAUAUUACAGGGCUAGGGUAAGGUUAAAGGUUUUUGGCGUUAGGGUUAAAAUCACUGUCCAAAACCUUUGUAGGAACUCUUUUCCAACCUUUUGGAGUAAGCUAGACCAAAAAAAAAAAAAUGAAAAAUGAAAAAAAAAAUGUUUGGGGUGUGAAGGCUUCCUUAAGUUAAUACCCGGGUAUAAGGUUCGGGAAUAGGGUAAGGUUGAAGGUUUUUGGCGUUAGGGUUAAAAUCACUGUCCAAAACCUUUGUAGGAACUCUUUCCCAACCUUUUGGAGUUAGUUAGACCAAAAAAAAAUGAAAAAUGAAAAAAAAAUGUUUGGGGUUUUCGGGCUUCCUGAAUGUAAUACCCGGGUAUUAGAUUUUAAGGCUAGGGUAAGGUUUAAGUUUUAUGGCGUUAGGGUUAAAAUCACUGUCCAAAACCUUUGUAGGAACUCUUUUCCAACCUUUUGGAGUUAGUUAGACCAAAAAAAAAUGAAAAAUGAAAAAAAACAUAUUUGGGGUGUUCAGUCUUCCUAAAAGUAAUACCCCGGUAUUAGGUUAUGGGGCUAUGGUAAGGUUUAAGGUUUUUGGCGUUAGUGUUAAAAUCACUGUCCAAAACCUUUGUAGGAACUCUUUUCCAACCUUUUGGAGUUAGCUAGACCAAAAAAAUAUGAAAAAGGAAAAAAAUAUAUUUGGGGUUUUCGGGCUUCCUGAAGGUAAUACCCGGGUAUUAGGUUUUGGGGCUAGGGUAAGGUUUAAGGUUUUUGGCGUUAGGGUUAAAAUCACUGUCCAAAACCUUUGUAGGAACUCUUUUCCAACCUUUUGGAGUUGGUUACACCAACAAAAAUGUAAAAUGAAAAAAAAUAUUUGGGGCUUUCGGGCUUCCUGAAGGUUAUACCCGGGAAUUAGAUUUUAUGGCUAGGGUAAGGUUUAAGGUUUUUGGCGUUAGGGUUAAAAUCACUGUCCAAAACCUUUGUAGGAACUCUUUUCCAACCUUUUGGAGUCAGUUAGACCAAAAAAAAACGAAAAAUGAAAAAAAAAUAUUUGGGGUGUUCAGGCUUCCUAAAAGUAAUACCCGGGUAUUAGGUUAUGGGGCUAUGGUAAGGUAUAAGGUUUAUGGCCUUAGGGUUAAAAUCCCUGUCCAAAACCUAUGUAGGAACUCUUUUCCAACCUUUUGGAGUUAGUUAGACCAAAAAAAAUGAAAAAUGAAAAAAAAAACAGAAAUGUAAAUCUGAUCAAUGUCCUAAUGGAAAAUCUGUACGUGUGUGUGUGUGUUCUUUUUUGCUAACUUAGUCUGGUGUCACUGAUGGUCAGUUAUUGAUAAGUAUUUAUUAUUUAAAUUUUUGAUGAAGUUGUUUGUAGUGGGGUUAGCUGGCUAAUUUUAGAGUGUUAAAAAAGAUGAUAGAGGGGGAGGAUUUAGGGGGCACGGCGGUUCCCCUUCAGGUCUCUCUUAAUCCUCCAUAUAGGUGACCCAACAGGGGUUACCCCCCGGCCGGGGUAGGCCGAGGCUGAAGAUCACCUAUUUGUCCUCUGUGAAGGUGAAAAUAAAGGGGCAGGGGAGGGAAUAAGAAAGGGGGGGUGUUAGAGAGAGGGGGAGAGAUGAGGGGGAGAGAUGAGGGAGAGAGAUGAGGGAGAGAGAGAGAGAGAGAGAGAGAGAGAGAGAGAGAGGUGUGUGUGUGUGUGUGUGUGUGUGUGUGUGUGUGUGUGUGUGUGUGUGUGAGAGAGAGAGAGAGAGAGAGAGAGAAGGGAAGAGGGAGAGGGGGGUUUAAGGGAGAGGUGGAGAUGGUGGAAAAUAAAGAUUGGUGAGGGGGAUGUUGACAUAUCACAUGUUCCCAGUCAAGUCUCCAAGCUCAAUCUGUGUGUAAAAAUGAUGUGUUGGUAGGAAGUUUAAUGACUCCACUCAAUUGGUAUGCCAUGCUGUCUAUAUUUUAGACUAUGUGUUUGUAAAUUAUGUAUAUAUUAUAUUACAGGGCUAGGGUAAGGUUAAAGGUUUUUGGCGUUAGGGUUAAAAUCACUGUCCAAAACCUUUGUAGGAACUCUUUUCCAACCUUUUGGAGUAAGCUAGACCAAAAAAAAAAAAAAUGAAAAAUGAAAAAAAAAAUGUUUGGGGUGUGAAGGCUUCCUUAAGUUAAUACCCGGGUAUAAGGUUCGGGAAUAGGGUAAGGUUGAAGGUUUUUGGCGUUAGGGUUAAAAUCACUGUCCAAAACCUUUAUAGGAACAUGUUUCAGACCUUUUGGAGUUGGUUACACCAAAAAAAAUGUAAAAAGAAGAAAAAAUAAUUGGGGUGUUUGGGCUUCCUGAAGGUAAUACCCAGGUAUUAGGUUAUGGGGCUAUGGUAAGGUUUAAGGUUUUUGGCGUUAGGGUUAAAAUCACUGUCCAAAACCUUUUUAGGAACAUGUUUCAGAACUUUUGGAGUUAGAUAGACCAAAAAAAAAAAGAAAAAAAAAAAAAGUAUUUUGGGUGUUAAGGCCUCCUGAAGGUUAUACAGGUAUAAUAUUAGGUUAUGGGGCUUGGGUAAGGUUUAAGGUUUUUGGCGUUAGGGUUAAAAUCACUGUCCAAAACCUUUGUAGGAACUCUUUUCCAACCUUUUGGAGUUAGCUAGACCAAAAAAAAAAAAAAAAGAAAAAUGAGAAAAAAAAUGUUUGGGGUGUGAAGGCUUCCUUAAGUUAAUACCCGGGUGUUAGGUUCGGGAAUAGGGUAAGGUUGAAGGUUUUUGGCGUUAGGGUUAAAAUCACUGUCCAAAACCUUUUUAGGAACAUGUUUCAGACCUUUUGGAGUUGGUUACACCAAAAAAAAUGUAAAAUGAAAAAAAAAUUUGGGGGGUUUUCGGGCUUCCUGAAGGUAAUACCCAGGUAUUAGGUUAUGGGGCUAUGGUAAGGUUUAAGGUUUUUGGCGUUAGGGUUAAAAUCACUGUCCAAAACCUUUUUAGGAACAUGUUUCAGACCUUUUGGAGUUAGUUAGACCAAAAAAAAAAAGAAAAAAAAAAAAGUAUUUUGGGUGUUCAGGACUCCUGAAGGUUAUACAGGUAUUAUAUUAGGUUAUGGGGCUUGGGUAAGGUUUAAGGUUUUUGGCGUUAGGGUUAAAAUCACUGUCCAAAACCUUUGUAGGAACUCUUUUCCAACCUUUUGGAGUUAGUUAGACCAAAAAAUAUGAAAAAAGAAAAAAAUAUUAUUGGGGGUUUUCGGGCUCCCUGAAAGUAAUACCCGUGUAUUAGGUUUUGGGACUAGGGAAAGGUUUAAGGUUUUUGGGGUUAGGGUUAAAAUCACUGUCCAAA